rnacentral:rRNA from 1 species
AGAGUUUGAUCAUGGCUCAGAUUGAACGCUGGCGGCAGGCUUAACACAUGCAAGUCGAGCGGAAACGAUGGGAGCUUGCUCCCAGGCGUCGAGCGGCGGACGGGUGAGUAAUACUUAGGAAUCUGCCCAGUAGUGGGGGAUAGCUCGGGGAAACUCGAAUUAAUACCGCAUACACCCUACGGGGAAAAGGGGGCGCUUGCGCUCUCGCUAUUGGAUGAGCCUAAGUCGGAUUAGCUAGUUGGUGGGGUAAAGGCCUACCAAGGCGACGAUCUGUAGCUGGCCUGAGAGGAUGAUCAGCCACACCGGGACUGAGACACGGCCCGGACUCCUACGGGAGGCAGCAGUGGGGAAUAUUGGACAAUGGGGGCAACCCUGAUCCAGCCAUGCCGCGUGUGUGAAGAAGGCCUUUUGGUUGUAAAGCACUUUAAGCAGUGAAGAAGACCUAACGGUUAAUACCCGUUAGCGAUGACAUUAGCUGCAGAAUAAGCACCGGCUAACUCUGUGCCAGCAGCCGCGGUAAUACAGAGGGUGCAAGCGUUAAUCGGAAUUACUGGGCGUAAAGCGAGCGUAGGUGGCUUGAUAAGUCAGAUGUGAAAUCCCCGGGCUUAACCUGGGUACUGCAUCUGAUACUGUUAGGCUAGAGUAGGUGAGAGGGAGGUAGAAUUUCAGGUGUAGCGGUGAAAUGCGUAGAGAUCUGAAGGAAUACCGAUGGCGAAGGCAGCCUCCUGGCAUCAUACUGACACUGAGGUUCGAAAGCGUGGUAGCAAACAGGAUUAGAUACC